AAUUUUAAACAAUCUACUAGAUAACCAAGUGCAGAGAGGGUGAUACCUUGCUUGGAUUGUGUACAUAAUUCCCGUUACGCUUUUUGUGAGAUAUUGCAGGAAGAUAAGUAACUCUCUUUUCGGGCAAUCGGAAGAGGUCAUGAAGUGAAAGAAGAUUGAGGGUGUACAUAGUAUAGAGAUUGUGCGUAGUUAGACCAUUAUCAUACGGUGGCGGUGACAAUAGACGCUCUCGGUGAGAGAAUGAUCUGGCAAGGCCUUAUGUAGCAGUAAGAACCAACCCAGAAAUGCUAAAAUAAACCGUUUUGCACUUGAGGCUGAGUGAUUGGCCAAUAACACUAAAGAUAAGUACAAGUAGCCCAAAUGUGCAGAUGAACGAUACUGAUAUUGUUAUGCUUAAAACAAAUAUUCUGAAUAUCGGGUGAAAGUUGGACGUAACCAGUCGUGCCUAGCCAUUAAAUCGCUACGGAAGUUAUAGGGUCGCUCCUUAUGGCUCAGACCGUGGUAGGCUAUCGGUCAAUAAAUUGCGUACAGUCGAAGUAGAGCGAAGGCUCAUUUGAUAGAUUGUUUAAAG
rnacentral:ncRNA from 1 species